UUAAAUACGGUGAAGAGGAUUAGUAGGUAUAUGAAAGCUUUUAGAGAGCUGUUGGUUGGUGAAAAACAGUAGCGAGUAUUAUCCGAACCUACUUUGGAGUAGUUUGAAAAACAAACCGAAGAACCUGCGUUAAGGGAAAUUGAGAAAAUUGAAAAUGAAAAUUUUUAAUUUUAAAUUGAGUGGUACCACGGAAACCCCGUCUCAUGU
rnacentral:ncRNA from 1 species